rnacentral:rRNA from 1 species
AUUGAACGCUGGCGGCAGGCCUAACACAUGCAAGUCGAGCGGAGCGGCGGACGGGUGAGUAAUGCCUAGGAAUCUGCCUGGUGGUGGGGGAUAACGUACGGAAACGGGCGCUAAUACCGCAUAAUAUCAGCAGAGCCUGGGUCGGAUUAGCUAGUUGGUGGGGUAAAGGCCUACCAAGGCGACGAUCCGUAACUGGUCUGAGAGGAUGAUCAGUCACACUGGAACUGAGAAACGGCCCAGACUCCUACGGGAGGCAGCAGUGGGGAAUAGUGGACAAUGGGCGAAAGCCUGAUCCAGCCAUGCCGCGUGUGUGAAGAAGGUCUUCGGAUUGUAAAGCACUUUAAGUUAGGAGGCGUUACCACCAGAGUAAGCACCGGCUAACUUCGUGCCAGCAGCCGCGGUAAUUC